AGAAGCAGCCAUCAUUUAAAGAAAGCGUAAUAGCUCACUGGUCGAGUCGGCCUGCGCGGAAGAUGUAACGGGGCUAAACCAUGCACCGAAGCUGCGGCAGCGACGCUGAUGCGUUGUUGGGUAGGGGAGCGUUCUGUAAGCCUGCGAAGGUGGCCUGUGAGGGUUGCUGGAGGUAUCAGAAGUGCGAAUGCUGACAUAAGUAACGAUAAAGCGGGUGAAAAGCCCGCUCGCCGGAAGACCAAGGGUUCCUGUCCAACGUUAAUCGGG
rnacentral:rRNA from 1 species